GCUUAGAGCUGGAGGUGGAGAAGCUGCCCUGAAUGGCCCCGAAAAAGGGGCUACACCUACCCACAGGGUGGCUGUUAACAUCAAAUGAAAAAUAUGUGUAGCUGGGAGCUGCAUGUGGUGGUGUCCAGGUGCCAGAGAUGGUGGUUGCUAUUGAACUGUGCCUGUGGUGAGGAGAGAUUUCACCACAAAGAAGCCAGGCUGUCCUGGGUGAGAGGAACAGCUGGGCCUCAGAGAAAUGCUUUCCAGAAUCCAGAAGCACACAGGGAUAGAGGUGGCAAAAAUCAGCUUCAUAUCCUUGGAGUUCUGAGUGUAUCAUUAGGAGCUGACUAUGGAGCCAGGCCUCACCGAGUGCAUUACGUGUCUAUUAUCUAAUUGGAUCCUUACCACAAUUUAGGAGCCUAACAGAUCAAACCCCUCUGUCAGUGGUGACUGGAGCAGAACUGAAGGCACUGUGGAAAGAAUACGUGUCACCUACGCAGCCAGCUUCCUCUGGACAAAAUGCAGGGAGGGAGAGGAGUCUUUGCUUGAUGAAGCAUCUCAAGGGAUGGAGGAGAUAUUAGUUCAGCCUAUGGCCACUGAACUCUUCUUGGAACAUCACUGAUCUCUUGUAUGCUUUCUCCAAUAAAUGAAAUGUCUCCCAUUAUGAUCAGAUUAUAUCCCAAUAAACCCAUCAGAAAUAGAAAAUAUCAUAAGCCAAAAAUGUGGUGAUAUGCCUAAACUAGAAAACAUCACAGCUUCGUGUAGCUUACCUUAAACAUGCUCAUAAUUCUUACAUUAUCAUGCAGUUGGGUACAAUCACCUUACCAAAAAUCUGUGUUGUAGGGGCUAGGGAUAUAGUUCAGUUGGUAGAGUGCUUGCUUUGUAUGCACGAGGCUGUGGGUUCAAUCCCCCGCCCAAAAAAACACCACACCUGUCGUAAUAGACACUUGCGUGUUUCCUUUUAUUUCUUGAAUACUGUGUGGAUGCUGCAGAGUAUCCAUUGUUUAUCCCCAUGAUCAUGGGGCUGGCUGGGAGCUGUGGCCAGCUGCUUCUGCCCUGCAUCAUGGGGGAAUGUUGUGCUGCAUUUCACUCUCUUGGGAAGAGAUCAAAAUUCAAAGUUUAAUUUUUAAUGAGUGCAUACUGCCUUCACACCAUUGUAAAGUUGAUAAAUGGUAAGUUGAACCCUCAUGAAUCAGGGACCAUCUGUAUAUUGAUUUUGAAAUCAUGUGUGAAUAGCACAGUUAAGUAGUAUUAUAUUGUGUGUCAAAAUGUGUUAAUUUAUUAAAUGUAAAUAUUUAAAAUAUAUUAUAGAGGGCUGGGGAUGUGGCUCAAGCAUUAGCACGCUUGCCUGGCAUAUGCAGGGCGCUAGGUUCGAUCCUCAGCUCCACAUAAAAAUAAAAUAAAGAUGUUGUGUCCACCAAAAACUAAAAAAUAAAUAUUAAAAA